GAUGAACGCUGGCGGCGUGCCUAAUACAUGCAAGUCGAGCGAACAGACGAGGAGCUUGCUCCUCUGACGUUAGCGGCGGACGGGUGAGUAACACGUGGAUAACCUACCUAUAAGACUGGGAUAACUUUGGGAAACCGGAGCUAAUACCGGAUAAUAUAUUGAACCGCAUGGUUCAAUAGUGAAAGACGGUUUUGCUGUCACUUAUAGAUGGAUCCGCGCCGCAUUAGCUAGUUGGUAAGGUAACGGCUUACCAAGGCAACGAUGCGUAGCCGACCUGAGAGGGUGAUCGGCCACACUGGAACUGAGACACGGUCCAGACUCCUACGGGAGGCAGCAGUAGGGAAUCUUACGCAAUGGGCGAAAGCCUGACGGAGCAACGCCGCGUGAGUGAUGAAGGUCUUCGGAUCGUAAAACUCUGUUAUUAGGGAAGAACAAAUGUGUAAGUAACUAUGCACGUCUUGACGGUACCUAAUCAGAAAGCCACGGCUAACUACGUG
rnacentral:rRNA from 1 species